rnacentral:lncRNA from 1 species
UUUCUCCCCGUUAAAAAAUCCAGAUUCCACAUAAAACUAAAGCUAGAAGAAGCCAAUUUAUCAGCACCAACGAAUUCAACCAUCUUCAUUCACCAGUGAAUCUAACCAUCUUCGUUCGCCGGUGAAUCUAACCAUCAUUCACCAGCGAUUCAUACUAUCUUCGUUGACUGGCGAUUACGCCAACUUCGUUCAUCAGUUUCAGUUUUCAGUUCAAUAUUCGGAGCUCCCGACAACACUUUACAUUUUCGUCACCACCGUUUGCUGGAAAAGAGAUCUUGACAUCUUGUACAAGCUAUGUUCAGUUCUCCUCUCAAACCGGUCUUAAUUGCUCAAUGAAACCUGAAAGUUUCUCUGACGAAGCCGGCGAUCUAGAAGAGGAUUGAAGACUAUCUGAUGAAUAUGUUAGGAUUUAUGUGCAGUAUGGUUUUGGUUUGGUAGAUGUUUGAAUGUUGGAUAUAUCCAGUUUGGUAUGAUUUUUGUGCAGGUAUUUGAUU